GAGGGUAUAGCUCAGUGGUACAGUAUGUGCUUAGCAUGCAUGACGUCUUGGGUUCAAUCCCUAGUACUUCUA
rnacentral:tRNA from 1 species